UUUUUACAUAAUAGCAGUGAAGGGCUGUCCCUUUGUCUACCUGAGGAACUGUAUAUUUUGUCCGCUUUUAUUGUCUGUCAUGUUCAUAGUGUAGUCUGAUCUAUGUACAUAAUGCAUGCAGUACAUACCUGCGAAGUUCGUUCGUGAGCUGAGCCUGGGCCUGCCUGUGAUUUGAAUUGGAUUGGGAUCAAGGGAAGACAUCUUCAAAGGGCGAAACAUCUAUUAUCUUGUAAUAGAAGGAUCUGUCGUCAAUGAUGGAAUAGCCACAUUCCGGGAAGCAGUGAUCACACUGUUCUGCUGUUUCUACGCUCUUUCCCUAGAGUACCCACCAGAGGGAUCAGUCACUAUGGAGUUCAUCCAAAGGGAACUCAUUGGCAUCAGUCCUGGGAGUCCAGUAAAGAGUGGAGGAAAGAAGAAGAAGAAAUCGGCCGUGUCUCCAAAGAUAAUUGCCCUCCUUCGUGGAAUCGUAGAGUUCGAAUCUGACUGGAAAACAGAGUAGCAGACAUCCAGCUCUCAUUUUUUAUGCUUCUGUCAAUUUGUUUUGAGAUGUGCUUUAUUAUGCACGAUUUUUAUUGUGACGAAUACAUGGAUGAGACAAUGUGAUGUAAGAAACCUGUAAAUUUCUAUUAUUUGUGCCUCAUCUUGAAAGCCUUUUCUCAACAUCCCCAACAUAAUGCAAAUAAAAUAUAUAUAAGUAUUAGUAUAGUAUAGGAUGUAUGCAUCCAGAUGUGAAAGGCUUUGAUUUUUGGAAAGAGCCAAGAUAGUCCUUGCCAAGGAACAAAGUGAGUUUUUUAGAUUUUGUUGGUAAUGUAAGAAAACCUCAGCAGGUCCUAUUUAUAAUUUUAUACCUAUAUAAUUUGUAUAUUUGUUCUUUUGAAGGUUGUUUAUAGUGUUUUCUUGAUGAUAUAUGCUACAGUAUGCAAACAUUAUACCAUGUUGGUGUUUACCCUGGUCAACUUUAUAUACAGGGUGUCCCAUGAACAAUGCCUGACACACUUCUGAUAGCACACAGAUCAACUUAUUAAUACCAUUGGUAAGAGCAACAUUUCCUUAAGGCCCUGUCACAUUAGGCUUGCAUGUGACUUGCAAGGAAAUUUGUUUUGCUACCCAGGGGUCUGCGAUACUGCGAUACAACAAUAUUACAUUUUGAAAUAGUUGAGAAGAGGAUCGGUUGAAAAAUACAAAUUUUUGAGGUGCUGAGUAUGUACUAAUUUGUGUUUUCAAAGGUUGGCAGCUAUGCUAUGUACAUCAUCUUCAUCUUUUAUUGGAAACAUGUACAUAUUUUUCAUUGAGGCAAGUGGGUAUUUUGAGAACAAAAAUAGACAUUUGUAUGCUGUUUAGGAAAAUAAUGUACAUUAUGCCAUCUUCAAUCAUGAGAACUGAUGGCCAUAUUAAUUUGAUAUUCUUGGCCCGAACUCACAAAGGAGGCUUAAAGGAGAAUAAAAGUUAGACAGUCACAUGAUUUCAGUGAAUGGAGAAGAACAACAAGACUUAACAGUAAAAGUUUGAGCAAAUUUGGAUAAUCCGUUUUCGAGUUAUGUAUUUUUGAAGUUUUAGAAAAUCCUUAUUAUGGACUUCCUUAAGUUGGCAACUUCGCCAGAAUUUGUGAUGUCAUUGUGCUCAACUCUCCAUUGGUUAUGUACAGAGAGUUUCACUUUUUUCUAAUUUUCAUCAAAAAUAAUAUUUCCGCCAGUGUAUUUUGUUUUUGUAUGACAUGGCUACAUCAAUUCUGCAGUAUGUCUGAAAGAAUCAAUACAAUUGCCCUUUUAAUAUUUUAUAAAAAUAAAAUGUUGUGAAAUCAUGGUCUAUGUAGAUUUUGUGUAUAAUUUGCGCUUAAUUUAGCGUGUAUGCUGAGAAAGGUCCAAUAUGAAGGCACGCUGUAUGGCAAAGGGCGCUCAAUUCAUGCUUGUUGCUAUGAUUUUAAACCAUAGCUUUAAACCAUGGCAAAAAUCAUGAAUUUCUAGUACUUUGCCAAAAGCGUGCAUUUAUACUGGAUCUUUGUCAGCUAAUCAUACACAAAAUCUGCAUAAACCAUGAGAGAGAGAGGAAAUAAAAUUUCACCUGCGCCAGAAGUGGUGGCAUGUCGAUCAUGAAUUAGCAAUAAAUGAUAUACCUCGGUUAAACAUGACUCUUUACGAUUUCAUAUCAUGGGGGGGGGGGGGCACCCCGUAGGCUAUAUAGUUUUUUGUUACAUUUUAUAUCUUUGUUACUCACUGAAGUUUGCUUUUAUUGUUUUCUUGUUGAUUAAGCUCCUUGCAGAUCAGUAUUUACAUGUUUGUAAUUGGUAAUGAUAAAUGAACCCUUUUAAAACUACAAAAUGUUGCAGUUGUUUGUUAGGCCAUAUAGUUUUUGUUACAUUUGAUAUAUUUGCUACUUACUGAAGUUUGCUUUUAUUGUUUUACUGUUGAUUAAGCUCCUUGCAGAUCAGUAUUUACAUGUUUGUAAUUGGUAAUGAUAAAUAAACCCUUGAAAAACUACAAAA